GAUGAACGCUAGCGACAGGCCUAACACAUGCAAGUCGAGGGGCAGCACAUGAGUAGCAAUACGAUGGUGGCGACCGGCGCACGGGUGAGUAUCGCGUAUGCAACCUACCUUCCACAGGGGGAUAGCCUUCCGAAAGGGAGAUUAAUACCGCAUAAAACAGGGGCCCCGCAUGGGGAUAUUUGUUAAAGAUUUAUCGGUGGGAGAUGGGCAUGCGUUCCAUUAGCUAGUUGGCGGGGUAAUGGCCCACCAAGGCAUCGAUGGAUAGGGGAACUGGGAGGUUUAUCCCCCACACUGGAACUGAGACACGGUCCAGACUCCUACGGGAGGCAGCAGUGAGGAAUAUUGGUCAAUGGGCGGGAGCCUGAACCAGCCAAGUCGCGUGAAGGAAGACGGUUCUAUGGAUUGUAAACUUCUUUUGCACUGGGGUAAAACGGGGGACGUGUCCCCCCUUGCAAGUACAGUGCGAAUAAGCAUCGCCUAACUCCGUGCCAGCCGCCGCAGUAA
rnacentral:rRNA from 1 species